GACGAACGCUGGCGGCGUGCCUAAUACAUGCAAGUCGAACGCACAGUUUAUACCGUAGCUUGCUACACCAUAGACUGUGAGUUGCGAACGGGUUAGUAACGCGUAGGUAACCUGCCUGGUAGCGGGGGAUAACUAUUGGAAACGAUAGCUAAUACCGCAUAAUAUUAAUUAUUGCAUGAUAAUUAAUUGAAAGGUGCAAUUGCACCACUACCAGAUGGACCUGCGUUGUAUUAGCUAGUAGGUGAGGUAACGGCUCACCUAGGCGACGAUACAUAGCCGACCUGAGAGGGUGAUCGGCCACACUGGGACUGAGACACGGCCCAGACUCCUACGGGAGGCAGCAGUAGGGAAUCUUCGGCAAUGGACGAAAGUCUGACCGAGCAACGCCGCGUGAGUGAAGAAGGUUUUCGGAUCGUAAAGAUCUGUUGUAAGAGAAGAACGGGUGUGAGAGUGGAAAGUUCACACUGUGACGGUAUCUUACCAGAAAGGGACGGCUAACUACGUG
rnacentral:rRNA from 1 species